GCUGCUGCGCUGCGGGGAGGCGGUGGGCUCCCACCCCGGGACCCCCCCACCCAGCAGCGACCCCCGCCCAGGGGGCAACAGGAGCCGCUGUCGCCGAAGCCCAGGUACAAGGCUGAGUGCUGUAGGGAGAGUGUGUGUGAAGAGAAAAGCAAGGCUGCAACAGCCCGCUGAAGUGUGCUCAAGGUCAGCCCCUCUUACAGAAGACCAAGAGGUCACGUUUGACUUAGAAGGAACCACGAAGAUAAGUUUCAUGAGCGACAUAACUGGAGCCAUUAGCAAGCUCAUCCAAGAGUAAUCAUCCAUCAAAGGCACUCAGCCCAGGGGUGCGUUUGCCACCCGUCGGCAAUGGAUGAAAGCGGGCAGUGGCUCUACCAGCAUCAGUAUGCAGGAGGUCACUUUCUCCACAGCCAGUGCUGUUCCAGCAGAUCGCUAGUUGAGAAGCGAAUCAAACUGAUGUGAAACAUGGAGUACCUCUCACAUGGUCAUUGAGAGGAAGACUUGCUGGACAGUCUCCACAAAACCUCAACACUGGUUUGGAUUGGUAUUUCCUUCCGAGUGCGUCAGCACUGCCAACACGACAAAAGACAACUAGGAGUAAGGGCUACAGCUGCUCCUCUAACAUUGCUGGGACAGCCUCCAGAAUAAAUUUCCAGCUCCUACUAACUCCUACUGGAUGUAUCUUCUGCGCCAAGGUCUCUGGAAAGGACCUGAACUGGAGGAGGUUUGGCACUUCAUCUGUGCUGUGUAGAAUCCAGCAAUAAGUUAUUCCGAUAGGAAGGUUUAAUACAGUUAAUAGAGCAUAUAAAACUGUCUACUGUGUUUCAUCAUAUUUAAUUUGCUGCAGCAAACUGCAGCCACCCAAUGCCGUUUCAGCCUCCCUUUUACAACCCUGCGGUGAUGCUCUCCCGGCUGAGGAGUUCCUGUGUCACCAGUGCUUCUGCGUUGACAGAGCAGUGCAAUGCCUCCAGAGCAUUCAGCUGCUUCUCGCCCUCCAGUGUGGUCCCAAGUGAAGCAGCUCCCUCACCACUGUGGGGAGAGCCACGAGGGACCCCGUGGCCUGGCCAUCCCCACAAAGAGUGGGCAAGCAGGAGGGCAACGCCAGCCUCCGGCCACCCGUAGCUAUGGUCUCUUCUGGGGCAUGAGCUUUGGGAGUGCUCGGGCUGUGCAGAAGGUUGGCGCACCUCUCCAGGGAUUUCUCCAGACGCAUCCUCCUGUCAUGUUUUGUGGUUUGUGAGGGAUAUGAUUCACUACCCCAGCAGCCUACUGUGCAGCCUGUGCCCCGUGAUAGUGCUUAACGAGCGAGCAGUGACUCACCGGUCCCCCCCAGCCCACAGGAUGGUGGGACUUCACUUCUCGCAGGGGCUGGGGCAUCACAGGGUCCAGUCUGUGCCUCCCAGCCUUUGGUCAGAUGGGCUUAUGUGCCACAGCAUGUGGCACGUGGCUGUGGCAAAACAGGGAUGUUGGGAUGAAGGGAACAGACCUACCUUAAGCUUAUUUAAGAAAAGCCAAUGUUAUGUUAGCUGCCUGCCCAGAUGAGGUGUGGUACUGAUGCUACUGUCAUUAAAUUAAAGUUGUUCAAUUUUUUCUAAAAAACUUUCCUAGGUAGACAAGGAUUUCCUUUUUAAACUAGGAUAGGUUGAGAUGACUGGGUCACUCAUGUAUUUUCUUGUAAUGUAUGCAACAGUGGCUGUAAUCAUAGAGUUAUGCAUCACGUAGGUUAGACCUCUAGAGGUCAUCUAGUCCAACCUCCUUCUCCAAGUGUAAAAUACAGGUUAGUCACCUGCAAGCACCAGUCUGGAGUAUGAGCAGGGAGAAGUGGGCUUACCAGCAGAAAUGUCUGGGCACUGCUGCCCCAAAUACUACCUCAGCUGCCCCUGUCUCUCCAGUCCUUCAUGUAGCCUGUGUGGCCUCAGCCCAGCACAGUCUCCCUUGCACUUGCAUGGCAUCAAGCAGCUCCCUGAGUGUCUACCACCAUCUCUGAUGUCCCACCUCAGCUCCACAAGAAGAAGGUGCUGGGUUACAAUAAUGCCAGACAUGAGCACACUUUGGUCUAAGGGUACAGAUGAGGGAAACAGGAGUACAUAUAGCUAGGGAUAUUACCGCUAAUGUGUGCAAGUCUAGCACUAUUGGUGCCCAUCAGAGAGACAAAAAAUCUCGUAUAAAGUAUUUCCAAAGAACUUUUACAGUGUCCCAGCCCAGUGAUCAGUACAGUGGUAUGGAAAGCAUCUUGUAGCACAUUUAUUUGCAUGAUGGCUGCUCUCACCUGGGCCAGGUUAAAAGGAUCAUAUCCCAACAGUAGGUAAAUGAGAGCUCUGCUCACCAAAACAUGCCUCAUAGCUACUCAGCUGGAAAGCAGGGAUCCUACUCAUGCCUUUCAAUCAAUAUAAAGUAUGCUGCUGGACCUCUUGUAGCUGCUUUUUCACUUCAAUUAAUUGAUGACCAUAAUUAAUAUAUGAAAUACUUUAAAACACUUGUUUUGCGUAAGCUGUGACCUUCAGUCAUUGUCAUGAGAGCAUGUCCUGUAGCUAGCCUUAGAUGACAGGCAUAAUUUGUAACUAUUUGUUGUCCAUUCUGUGACCUAACCACGAAAGGGGACAGA